AAUAGAUACCCUGGUAGUCCACGCCGUAAACGAUGAGUGCUAAGUGUUGGGGGGGUUUCCGCCCCUCAGUGCUGCAGCUAACGCAUUAAGCACUCCGCCUGGGGAGUACGGUCGCAAGACUGAAACUCAAAGAAAUUGACGGGGGCCCGCACAAGCGGUGGAGCAUGUGGUUUAAUUCGAAGCAACGCGAAGAACCUUACCAGGUCUUGACAUCCCGGUGACCACUAUGGAGACAUAGUUUCCCCUUCGGGGGCAACGGUGACAGGUGGUGCAUGGUUGUCGUCAGCUCGUGUCGUGAGAUGUUGGGUUAAGUCCCGCAACGAGCGCAACCCUUAUUCUUAGUUACCAUCAUUCAGUUGGGCACUCUAAGGAGACUGCCGGUGAUAAACCGGAGGAAGGUGGGGAUGGCGUCAAAUCAUCAUGCCCCUUAUGACCUGGGCUACACACGUGCUACAAUGGACGGUACAAACGGUUGCCAACCCGCGAGGGGGAGCUAAUCCGAUAAAACCGUUCUCAGUUCGGAUUGUAGGCUGCAACUCGCCUAC
rnacentral:rRNA from 1 species